rnacentral:lncRNA from 1 species
AUCAAUUCACUGACCUUUGCUUGGAGGAUUUCUUUCAUAGUCAACCACUAGCUGGGAUGCUAGUGAGGAUGAUAUAUAAUUUUUAUCAUUGUAUGAAGAGCUCAUACAAGGAACUAUUUUAAAUAUAAAAUGUCAAAUUCAUAGUUUGGAAGUAUCUAAAAUGGUUGAAUUUGGUCAUCGCUGUUGUUACAAGGUGUCAGUUAUAAUCUGAUGUGAAAUUGUUAUUAUAAUGGCACACCAUGUUUUUGCACACAACAAAUAACACUAUAUACAGCCUAGAAAUAAUAAAACUAUGGCCUUGCACAUAUAGCAUGUAUUUGGCAGAGAAGAAAGUUGACUUAUUUUGUUCUUAGGGAACACUUUUUUGUUUGAAAGGAAAAAACGCUUAGGGUCCAUCAAUUCCAACAAAAUGACAGUAAAAAAUGGAACUGAAUGCUUUUUAUCAUAGAAAGGGAAAACAAAAUAACGUCAUAAGGCUUAACAAAGAAGCUAUUAGGAAAGGAGAUAUAAGCACCUUCAUGAUGAUUCUAAUUUAGGUGAACAAAAUAGAAACACCAAUAAACACUAGUUAUGUACGAAAAAGGAUUAUUGGAGAAGGAUGAAAAGGUUUUACAAGGAAUGUUUUAGGUCUCUACAUUGGGUACCAUAUAGGUGCCCUGCUGAUUCAGUAUAGUACACACCUGUAUCGAUACAUGGUACACUAAUAGAGUCUGCACAACACCCAUGCCAUGUGUAGAUAUAUAGGCAUACCAAACCUCCAUACUAUAUCAAUGCUAUACCAAGUUAAUACAGUAUGCCCUAUACAGCCUGGUACAAAUUGGCACUAAAUAAUGUUUACAAGUUUGAAAGAUUGGUCUGAAACAAGUCUCGCUUGUGUUCAGUUUGCAUAUCUUAGAACUAGUUAUUUCCAAAUAUGCAGCUCAUCUUGGAAAAAAUUCUACGUAAAUAUGGAAGUAAAAGAGAUGUUGAAAAAAGAAUAUUGAUGUGAGCACUUUUAAAAUCGAUGAUGAAUAUCAAACAUGGUUUAAGUGCAACCACUAUAGAUUN